GAUUAGAGAAAUGAGGGAGAGCAGACACGGGGCUGUCAACGGAAAGUAGGCGCCAAAGUCCUCUUAAGGGGACAUUCCUUGAGAUGCUCUGGGCAUUUCGUUCAUUCAUCUAUUCAUCCAUCCAUCUUUGGUUCUUUUAGUGAACUUCCUGUAGCAAGAUGCUUGGGACCCUGGGAUCAUCCACUCUAGGGUCUAGGAUAAUUUAGGGGAGGCUUUCAAAAGACAGGUAUCCUGACAACAGAAGCCUGAAACUCUAGUCAAAGUGUAGAAAAUGGUAAGAACCAGAAUACUCUUUGUAACCUAUUAAUAGCUGCGAGUUAAGAGUGACCUAAAUGCCCCACCCUUGGGGGCUAGGUGAAUAAUUCGUAAUUAUAAGUGAGGUGCAAUACGACUGAAAAUAUCACCUUCAUAUACGUCAACCGUAAAACCAAAAUGAUGAUGAAAACACAAAUUGCAGAGCAAGACUCUAAGAAUACCAUUCACAUAUCUUAUGGUUGUUUGUGUACAUCGUUUUUAAAUGACAGAUAAAGCUAUAACCCUAA
rnacentral:lncRNA from 1 species